rnacentral:rRNA from 1 species
GACGAACGCUGGCGGCGUGCUUAACACAUGCAAGUCGAACGGAAAGGCCCUGCUUUUGUGGGGUGCUCGAGUGGCGAACGGGUGAGUAACACGUGAGUAACCUGCCCUUGACUUUGGGAUAACUUCAGGAAACUGGGGCUAAUACCGGAUAGGAGCUCCUGCUGCAUGGGGGGGGUUGGAAAGUUUCGGCGGUUGGGGAUGGACUCGCGGCUUAUCAGCUUGUUGGUGGGGUAGUGGCUUACCAAGGCUUUGACGGGUAGCCGGCCUGAGAGGGUGACCGGCCACAUUGGGACCGAGAUACGGCCCAGACUCCUACGGGAGGCAGCAGUGGGGAAUAUUGCACAAUGGGCGGAAGCCUGAUGCAGCAACGCCGCGUGCGGGAUGACGGCCUUCUGGUUGUAAACCGCUUUCGCCUGUGACGAAGCGUGAGUGACGGUAAUGGGUAAAGAAGCACCGGCUAACUACGUG